rnacentral:misc_RNA from 1 species
UGGCGCUCCUGCACUUUUAGAUUGUUCAACAAAGUUGCCAAAACAUCUUGAGGCCCAAUAGCUUUAGCAAUAUACCCAAAAGUGUUCACUGUAGCUCGACGGAUACCCUUCUUGUGAGCUUUGAGCAUCUCAAGCAACUCAAAGCAGAUCCUCAUCCAUUCUCUUGCUGGAACAAAUUCAGCACCACGAUCAGCAAUACGA